rnacentral:rRNA from 1 species
CGGGCGGGUGAGUAAUGUCUGGGAAACUGCCCGAUGGAGGGGGAUAACUACUGGAAACGGUAGCUAAUACCGCAUAACGUCGCAAGACCAAAGAGGGGGACCUUCGGGCCUCUUGCCAUCGGAUGUGCCCAGAUGGGAUUAGCUAGUAGGUGGGGUAAUGGCUCACCUAGGCGACGAUCCCUAGCUGGUCUGAGAGGAUGACCAGCCACACUGGAACUGAGACACGGUCCAG